rnacentral:rRNA from 1 species
CCUACGGGAGGCAGCAGUGGGGAAUAUUGCACAAUGGGGGAAACCCUGAUGCAGCGACGCCGCGUGAGUGAAGAAGUAUUUCGGUAUGUAAAGCUCUAUCAGCAGGGAAGAAAAUGACGGUACCUGAUUAAGAAGCCCCGGCUAACUACGUGCCAGCAGCCGCGGUAAUACGUAGGGGGCAAGCGUUAUCCGGAUUUACUGGGUGUAAAGGGAGCGUAGACGGCAGCACAAGUCUGGAGUGAAAUGCCGGGGCUUAACCCCGGAACUGCUUUGGAAACUGGGCAGCUUGAGUGCAGGAGAGGUAAGUGGAAUUCCUAGUGGAGCGGUGAAAUGCGUAGAUAUUAGGAGGAACACCAGUGGCGAAGGCGGCUUACUGGAAUGUAACUGACGUUGAGGCUCGAAAGCGUGGGGAGCAAACAGGAUUAGAUACCCGGGUAGUC